AUGCAGUUGUGUAUGUCCUUCUCCACGGCUUGGGGUAAUGGUGGCUCUAGAAAGUAUAUUUUUAGAAAGAAAUCUACGAUCGGGAUUUCACCGGUAAAUGUGGACCAACUUCCAGAAGAAGUGAGAGCUGUGAAAUCUUUGGAGAAGAGGGGAUACUCCUUCAGUGGAAGAGACGGGCUGCUCUUUUACCAUGGUUGACCGGAGGAUAUCUAGACAUGGAACAGAUACCAAUGCUUUUGGAAACCAAGCUUUGAUGUGUUUAUAUGUCUAUUACUACAUGAAUAAAAAUUAAUUUUCUCAA